UGGUUUACUUCCUUCUCUGUGCCACCUCACCUGCCCUAGCUUUACCUCAGUACUCACCAUUUAUUGUUUUCACCUGUUCCUCAUUAUGUCCCGGUCUGCAGCACAUACAAUAUAUACCUCCUUUUUUCCCCUCAGUCCUUUGCUGGUUCAUUGACGUUACUAUGAUCCUGACAACGCUGAAGAAACUCACUUUGUUUCUUGUUCCUGCCUGGUUUGCUGCUCACGACGUACGUGCACUGUGUGAGUCUUCAUCUGCCACUACCUGUGCUUCUCGUUCCUGCCUGGUUUGCUCCUGACGGCAUCAGUACACUUUCUACACUGGCCAUGUCUCCUGGCCCAGCCUAUCUUGCUGUAUAUUCCUGUUUGGCCAGCGAUGCUGUUACUCACCUGUCUCCAUCACCUUACCCUACUACUCACCUGUGUGCCCCCUCGUCAACCUGGCUCUGGUCCUGCCUCCACUCCUUGGUGUAGCCUCAGCUCCACUCUGCCAUCCUACUUACCACCUUUGGGAGGUCCUGCCUGCCUGACUCACCUGAGCGCUCCCGGCUUCUUGAUCAUGUGGGGGCAGCACCAGCUGAUAAGUGACACAUGACUCAUGUCAGUAUGAUGUUACCAGCUUGCAGCAUGGAGCCCUUGGUCCAGGGCAUUAUUUUAAUUCCUCAUCAGAAAAAUACAUGGAAAGACUUUGUUUUCAAAUCUUGCAAAGAAAUUACAAAUAAAAAGUAACUGCU